rnacentral:lncRNA from 1 species
UUAGAUGUGAUCAAAGACUGGCCUGCUGAAAAGAAGAGAAUAUGGGAUCUUAAAGCCUGGAGGCAGACUUGGAGGAGGAAGAGAAGGACCAAGGCAAUGAGAGACAGAUGAGCCAUGCUCCAGGAUACAGGCUUCCUUUGUUCUCCCAGACAGCAUCCACUUUGCAGCCCAGGCUGACCUUGGACUCUCAGUGAUCCUCCUGCCUCAGCCUCCCAAGUGCUGACUGAGAAGACAGGUGUGCAGUACUGCAAUCAACUCUCAGCCAACCUUAAGAAGCGCUGGGGAGCUGCUACUGUUCUAGCUGCCUUGGGCAGAUUACCUCACAGUGCUGCGAGGGCACCUGUGUUGUCUUCUUGUCACAGAUGAACCUGGAGCCCAGGCACAUUAGGUGUUAGUCCGAGGUCAUGCAGCUGGAAGGUGAGGGGUCAGGCUUCCUGGACCCAGAGCCGUCCUCUCCACCUCCAGGUCAGGGCCAGCGAAGGGUCCAGUCCCC